UACGUAGGGGCAAGCGUUGGUCCGGAAUCAUUGGGCGUAAAGAAGCGUGUAGGCGGUUCAGUAAGUCUGCUGUGAAAGUCCAGGGCUCAACCCUGGGAUGCCGGUGGAUACUGCUGGGCUAGAGUACGGAAGAGGCGAGUGGAAUUCCCGGUGUAGCGGUGAAAUGCGCAGAUAUCGGGAGGAACACCUAUUGCGAAGGCAGCUCGCUGGGACGUUACUGACGCUGAGACGCGAAAGCGUGGGGAGCAAACAGG
rnacentral:rRNA from 1 species